UACGUAGGGACCAAGCGUUGUUCGGAUUUACUGGGCGUAAAGGGCGCGUAGGCGGCCUACUAAGUCGGACGUGAAAUCCCUCGGCUCAACCGGGGAACUGCGUCCGAUACUGGUGGGCUCGAAUCCGGGAGAGGGAUGUGGAAUUCCAGGUGUAGCGGUGAAAUGCGUAGAUAUCUGGAGGAACACCGGUGGCGAAGGCGGCAUCCUGGACCGGUAUUGACGCUGAUGCGCGAAAGCCAGGGGAGCAAACGGG
rnacentral:rRNA from 1 species